rnacentral:rRNA from 1 species
AUUGAACGCUGGCGGCAUGCCUUACACAUGCAAGUCGAACGGCAGCACGGGAGUAAUCCUGGUGGCGAGUGGCGAACGGGUGAGUAAUGUAUCGGAACGUACCUUUCAGUGGGGGAUAACGUAGCGAAAGUUACGCUAAUACCGCAUAUUCUGUGAGCAGGAAAGCAGGGGAUCGCAAGACCUUGCGCUGAUUGAGCGGCCGAUAUCAGAUUAGCUAGUUGGUGAGGUAAAGGCUCACCAAGGCGACGAUGUCUAUCCGGUCUGAGAGGAUGAUCGGACACACUGGAACUGAGACACGGUCCAGACUCCUACGGGAGGCAGCAGUGGGGAAUAUUGCGCAAUGGGGGAAACCCUGACGCAGCAACGCCGCGUGAGUGAGGAAGGACUUCGGUCUGUAAAGCUCUGUUAAUGUGGAAAAAUGGUAGUUGGUCUAAUAGGCCGAUUAUUUGAUGGUACACAUAGAGGAAGCACCGGCUAACUUCG